GGGGAUUUAGCUCAGUGGUAGAGCGCUUGCCUAGCAAACGAAAGGCCCUGGGUUCGGUCCCCAGCUCCA
rfam:Rattus norvegicus chromosome 17, whole genome shotgun sequence.